rnacentral:rRNA from 1 species
AGCAGCCGCGGUAAUUCCAGCUCCAAUAGCGUAUAUUAAAGUUGUUGCAGUUAAAAAGCUCGUAGUUGAAUUUCGGGGUUAGUAGGUUGGUCAUGCCUCUGGUAUGUACUGGUCUCACUGAUUCCUCCUUCCUGAUGAGCCGUAAUGCCAUUAAUUUGGUGUUGCGGGGAAUUUGGACUGUUACUUUGAAAAAAUUAGAGUGUUUAAAGCAAGCUAACGCUUGAAUACAUUAGCAUGGAAUAAUGAAAUAGGACGUUCGAUCCUAUUUUGUUGGUUUCUAGGAUUGACGUAAUGAUUAAUAGGGAUAGUUGGGGGCAUUAGUAUUCAAUUGUCAGAGGUGAAAUUCUUGGAUUUAUUGAGGACUAACUACUGCGAAAGCAUUUGCCAAGGAUGUUUUCAUUAAUCAAGAACGAAAGUUAGGGGAUCGAAGACGAUCAGAUACCGUCGUAGUCUUAACCAUAAACUAUGCCGACUAGGGAUCGGAUGAUGUUAAUUUUUUAAUGACUCA